rnacentral:lncRNA from 1 species
UUUUUUCUUGAUAAAAAUAUUUAAGAAUAUAUUAGGCAUUUGGUGGAGGCGGUGUUCUGAUAGGGAAUGGAAAUGGAAAAGGAAAAGGAAAUGGCCAAAAUCUAGGAGGUGGAGGCGGGGGAUUGCGAGGUGGAGGAGGUGGCAGUGUGCGAGGUGGAGGUGGAGGUGGAGGAUUGCGAGGUGGUGGUGAUACUGGAGAUUUUGGAGGUAAUGUAGGAGAUCUAGGUGGAAGUGAUUGUGGUGGUGAUACUAGAGAUUUUGGAGGUAAUGUAGGAGAUCUAGGUGGGAGCGAUUGUGGUGGUGAUACUGGAGAUUUUGGAGGAAACAUGGGUGAAGAUCUUGGCGGCAAUGUAGGAGAUCUAGGUGGGAGCGACUGUGGUGGUGAUACUGGAGAUUUUGGAGGUGGUGACGAUGGGGAUUUAGGAGGAAACGUGGGUGGAGAUCUUGGGGGCAAUGUAGAAGAUCUAGGUGGGAGCGACUGUGGUGGUGAUACUGGAGAUUUUGAAGGUGGUGACGAUGGGGAUUUAGGAGGAAACGUGGGUGAAGAUCUUGGCGGCGAUGUAGGAGAUCUGUGUGGUGGUGAUACUGGAGAUUUUGGAGGUGGUGACGAUGGGGAUUUAGGAGGAAACGUGGGUGGAGACCUUGGCGGCGAUGUAGGAGAUCUAGGUGGGAGCGACUGUGGUGGUGAUACUGGAGAUUUUGGAGGUGGUGACGAUGGGGAUUUAGGUGGAAAUGUAGGUGGAGAUCUUGGCGGCGAUGUGGGAGAUCUAAGUGGGAGUGAUUGUGCUGGUGAUACUAGAAAUUUUGGAGGUGGUGACGACAGAGAGUUAGGAGGAAAGGUGGGUGGAGAUCUUGGCGGUGAUGUAGGAGAUUUAGAUGGUGAUAAAAGUGGAGCUUUUGGUGGCAAAGACGGUGGAGAUUUUAUUGGUGGUAAUUGUGGUGGUAAUAUAGGAGUUUUAGGUGGUUGUGAGGGCAAAGGUGUCUUAAUAGGUGAAGGAGGCGGCGGCGGCGGUGAAUUUGUUAUUUUAGGCGGAGGUGGUGGUGAUUUUCUAAUUUUAGGUGGUGGCGGUGGUGGUGACUUUUUAAUUUUAGGCGGCGGAGGUGGCGAUUUUCUAAUUUUUGGUGGUGGCGGUGGGGGUGGCGACCUUCUAAUUUUGGGUGGUGGUGGCGGUGGCGACCUUUUAAUUUUAGGCGGUGGAGGCGAUCUCCUAUUUAUAGGAGGUGGUGGUGGUGGAGGCCGUCUCUUGUAUAUAGGAGUUGGUGGUGGUGGUGGUGGUGGUGGUGGUGGUGGUGAUUUGCGACGAGUAGUUGAUAGUUGUUCAUUUGAUUCAGCUACUGUAGUAGUAGUAGGAGCAGCAGCAGCAGCAGCAGUAGCGGCCAGUAAGUAGAUCACUAACACAUAUACGAGAUGACACCAUAGUGGCGACACCAUCUUGGGAGGGAGUCUUGUUUCUUCUCUCCUAUUACUCAAGGAGAAUAUUACAAGUGCAUAAAGAAUGAAAAAUGCAACCUUUAAAUACUAAGGUUGAUGCACUUGCUGCUUUGGUAUCUUUAAAUCGAUAAUAGCAUAUUAUAGGGACGGGCCCUUGUUUAAUAAUCCCCUUAAUUUUAGGUCCGACCCUCAUUCUUCCAUAUUGCCAAUUAAGUGCUUUUUCAUGAAUAUUUCUUUUUCAUUAAUAUCAAUACAAAAAAAGAAAGAAAUCUAAUCUAACCUAAUCUAAUAAACCGAACGUGAAUUUAAUACAGCCUUUUUGCAUUUAUAUGUCUACAUCCACCUUCACAUACAAAUUUUUGAUUUUUCUUUUUUUGCUUAUUUUUUCUGAACUUUUACUUUUUUUUUUUUUACUUUUUGAUAAUUUAUAAUGUAAAAUAUAAAUUCCAACGUAGCGACAAUUCAAAAUUCUAGACAUGAAGAGUAUAAAUUAAUAGAAUUUCUUUCUUGUUUAUGCAGUAGAGUUCAGAAUAUAUAUUAUUAUUUAAAAUCAAUAAUCAAGUUGUUAUGAUGAUAUGAAUUUUCAAAACAGCAUAGUUGAAAAUUGGCACACCUUCAAUUGUGAAAAAUUAAUUAAUGAGAAAGGUACCCAGUCCUAAUCCUACCUUGUACCAGAAAUAUUACCUGCUUAACAUAUACAAAUACAAGACAUGGACAUAAUUUGGUCUACAUAAAUAGAGUGGUACAGUUACACUUGCAUACAUUCAAGUUUUAUACUUAAUGCACUCUUUAUUACAACAAAUUAAAAGAGGGAAGUAAACUAUUUCAUGUGACAAAAUAUAUAAUAUAUAUAUAUAUAUAUAUAUAUAUAUAUAUAUAUAUAUAUAUAUAUUUAUUUAUUUAUUUAUUUUAGAGCUUUAAUAAUUUAUUUUUAUAUAUAAUAUGAUAUAAAGAUUUGUUUUACCUCACUUUAGUUUUUCUUGUCUAAAUUCAGGAAAUAAUGCAAAAAAUGAGAAUUUGAGCUAAAAGCGCACUAAUGGGCGUAAUUGGACUGCGGCUAUUAAAAGCUCGAGAAUCAGACACGUGGACUAUUAAUAGUUUGGGCCUAGCUUAAUUCAUUAAAGCCCAAAAAGGGGAGUUUAAGUAAUUAUUAUAUAAUUAGUGGAUAAUUAUCAUUUGAAUUGUUUAGUUUGUUUAGGACAACAAGGGAUAAACUAUAGGAGUUGUAUGUGGAGAAAAGAAUUCUAAAGAAGGAAAUCUCUACAAGGAGCAGAGGUGAAUUAGAAUAGGGAGUCCUUUGGCUACUGGAACUCUCGGAAGAAGGAUUCUAUUAUUCUCUACAAAAAAUUCUAGAGUUCAUCAUUUUUUACAUCUUUCUAGCUUGUGUUGCAUCAUUCUUUAAAGAAUCAGAUAAGCUUUUCGAAGACGUGGAAAAAGAGAACCAAUUUUCUUCAUUCCUUGAAGAGCCUUUGAACUUUGAGGGAGUUUUAGUUUUUUGUUUUAUGAAUCUUAAGUUUUUCUAUUUAAUUACAAUGAUCAUUGGAUUAAGUAUAUUAGGCCAAGUCCUAUAAGUGUUUAGUUUGGUUUUUUACUUAUAUAUGAAUCUUAUAUAUUUUGAGUUUAACGAAUGAUUUCUUUUUCUUCAUAUGUUCAUUAGUUUCAUCUAUUAUUAUUGAUUGACCAUCAUAUCAAUUUAGUAGUAAUAUGUGUUAUGAAAAUCUUUAAGUUAAAAGUAUUAGAGAUACCAUCUUUACUUUAAUCUAUGUUAGUAUAACAAACCUAAAUUGCAUCAUUAGCUUGAGUGACUUGGGAAAAAGGAAAAAGAAACAUCACCAUCUCAUUUGUUAAAUUAGGCUUAAGGGAAUUAAGGGUAUUACUAAGUAAAAGCUAGACUAAAUGCUAUUUUAUCAUAUAGUUUAUAUUAAUCAUUCUAAUUGCAUAUUUAUUUUCUGGUUAUUUAAUUUCUUUUAUUAAACUAAGAUCAUUUUCAAAACAUCGGCUUAGAGUGUUUAUAUUUACUUUCAGUAAUUUGUGUGAUAGUUGGUCUUUAUAAUAUAUACUCUACAAUUCCUUGUGAGAUCGACCUCGUGGUAAACUUACCCGAACUACCAUUAAGUUCGUAAACUGCGAAUAUUAAUUUAGACACACAUACAUAUAUAUAUAUAUAUAUAUAUAGAUUAUAAAAAUAACAAAUAAGAGAAAAAAGAAUUGCAAUCAAACUGUUGCUUUUUUUUCUUUUUUCAUUUCAUCUCAGUACUUGGGAGAAAAUCUAUAUAUUUAAACUCUUAAUCUCCAUGGAGAUUGUACCAAUUGAGCAAUUAUGAUUGAUAUGUACCCAGAAACUUAGGAUUAAUUGAAGUUGGUCGUGAUUAGAGUAUUCGAGCUCAAUUGAUAGACCUUGGUUAUUUGCAGCGGCUCAAAACCCAAAUCCUUCAAAAGUUAUGUAUGGC